UCGAUCAUCUGAGGAUCAAGUAAUCACACGAGCACGACACCGAGAUUUAUUAACAAGGUUCACCGAUAUGGUUACAUCCCCGGGGCUUGACUACGGGCGUUCCUCCCCAUGACACCGUCACAAUACCGCACACCGGCCAUCCAGGUGCCGGCACAUGCCGCCGGCUCCCCCUUACGUGCCUGUGCUAUUAUGUUGGCAUAGGUUACAUCGUGUGUCUAGCUCCGCUAUAUAUGAGAGGCCUAGGAUACAAGUGUCCUAUUAAAACACGACUCCAUAUCCUAUCUAAACACAAUACAACUACAAAUCCAACUGUAAUCUACCUCGUACACUAUAUUUGACACAACUCCAACAGGGCGUUACCAUCGUUCCUAGACGCCCAUCUUAGAAUCCCCUACCUCGAGAUCUGCCAGUUUAGGUUUCGUCAUAUCGUGUCCUCGAUUAAUCCAACUGAUCGUCGACUGAUGGAAUCCUCCUUACGGGUGCCCACACUGACUGAUAAACCCCCCUGUUACUAGCAUUGCCUUGGGCUGUAAAGAUAAUGAGCUUGAGCCUCCAUGGGCCUUAGCUGGGUAAUAUGUCGCCAUGGGCCUGCCCAGUGGGAGAUAACCUCAUCAGCAUAGAGGUCAUCAUAUGGUACCGUUUCAGGAAAUACAAACAUGCAAUAACUGGAACUAACUACUGCAAAUCAUCAUGCCUGAAAUAGCAUGUUCAGAAUGCCAAUUACGACUGACUUGGACGUGCCUGGGUUGAGCGAUUGGUGGUUCAUACUUCAUAGUCCAUAGCUUUUUUAGCUCAAGUGUUACGUCGAGACAUUACAGAACCUAACUUAAAUUAAUAAAAAGGGCGAGAAGAAUAGAUUUAAAUUAAUCUACUAUGAUGCUCAAUUUAUAGAAGGGUAGUGAGUUCAGACCUUGGUGCAGUAGGCAGGUCACUUGAGAUAGUUAGCGCAAAUCAUCACACUAGGCAGGUCAUCAUCCGGG
rnacentral:lncRNA from 1 species